rnacentral:lncRNA from 1 species
AGCACUGUCUUAACAGAUGAUGUUUCUUCCAAUUCCCGAUAGCUGUUAUUUUCCCAUGUAACCUCCAUGAAACUGAGGCUUUGACAGGUGAAGGGAUGACACUAAGUUCUGUAUCUACGCAGAGGUGGAGUCGGGGCUGAGAAAGUCAGUUGGAGGCCUAGAAUUGGCUGCCAGAUCCUUGGCCCCCAGGAUCACUGGUCUUUUCACCCUGGGGGCAGAAGCUGGACAUAGGUGGAUGUGGAAUUCCUUCUUGGCUGCAUCCCUCUGCCUCUGAGCACUUCACUUCCCUGCUCAGUAACAUGGGGACAAUGCUACAAGGUUGCGGGGAGGAGUAAAUGAGAUAGUUCUUGGUGCUCCUUGCUGUGUGCCGGGCACACAGUAGGAGCUCACAAAAUAUGCUGUCGCUGUUAUUACACCGAAGUCUUGUAAAUUAAUGUAUUGAAAGUGUAAGAAACAUUAGCAUCCACCCCCAUCUGUCCCACCCCAGCACUGACUGCUUAACCCCAGCCUUCUAUCCAGGGACUUUCAUAUCUCUUGGUGGCUGUGUGUGCCUGUGUGUCCAGUCCUGUCUUAUUCUAUGAAUCUACAUGCGUAUAUGUUUAUUGUCACACAGAGGAUUUAAAAGCAUCACCAAAAUCAUCCACAUACCUUGUGCUGUUACAGGCAGAUGGUUCUAGGACAGCAAAGAGGCAGGAACUGGCUUAGGGUCAUAUUCUAGCUCCCCAAUUGACGAGCUGAGUGACUGUGGGGCAAGUCACUUCACCUCCAUGAGCCUCCACUCCCCAUCACCAAUGGGAAUCUCCUGGCUUCCAAAUCCUGGUGUCAUGCUGUGGAUUAAAUGAGUCAAUGUGUAUAAAGCUCCUGGUACGGGGCUGACGCAGAUCAAAUGCUCACUGAGAUCCAGCUAUGAUCGUUACUGUUUUUGCAAGUGCCUGAGUGACUUUGCUUCUGCGUAAUGGGAGUGGAACACCAGGGGAUGGUGAAGAGAUCCAGGGACGUGAAUUCAGAUGCUUUAGGGUUCUGCUGUGCUCUGCCAUGCUCUGGUUGUAUGUUUUUAGAAAGUUGCUGAACUUAAGCCGGGUGCAGUGGCUCACACCUGUAAUCCCAGCGCUUUGGGAGGCCGAGGUGGGUGGAUCACAAGGUCAGGAGAUCAAGACAAUCCCGUGUAACACGGUGAAACCCCAACUCAACUAAAAAUACAAGAA